rnacentral:rRNA from 1 species
UACGUAGGGGGCAAGCGUUGUCCGGAAUCAUUGGGCGUAAAGCGCGUGUAGGCGGCUGACUAAGUCCGCUCUGAAAGCCCGGGGCUCAACCCCGGGAGGCGGGUGGAUACUGGUCAGCUCGAGUCCGGAAGAGGAGUGUGGAAUUCCUGGUGUAGCGGUGAAAUGCGCAGAUAUCAGGAGGAACACCGGUGGCGAAGGCGGGUCUCUGGGCCGAUACUGACGCUGAGACGCGAAAGCGUGGGGAGCGAACAGG